GACGAACGCUGGCGGCGUGCCUAAUACAUGCAAGUCGAACGCUGAAGAGAGGAGCUUGCUCUUCUUGGAUGAGUUGCGAACGGGUGAGUAACGCGUAGGUAACCUGCCUGGUAGCGGGGGAUAACUAUUGGAAACGAUAGCUAAUACCGCAUCAUAUUGAUUAUUGCAUGAUACUUAAUUGAAAGAUGCAACUGCCUCACUACCAGAUGGACCUGCGGUGUAUUAGCUAGUUGGUGAGGUAACCGCCCACCCAAGCGACGAUACCUAGCCGGGCCGAGAGGGUGGACGGGCACACUGGGACUGGGACAACGGCCAGACUUCUAAGGGAGGCAGCAGGAGGGAAACUUCGGCAAAGGGGGGAACGCUGAACGAGCCACGCCGGGGGAGGGAAGGAGGUUCUCGGAGCGGAAAGCUCUGUUGUAUGAGAAGAAAGGGUGUGAGAGUGGAAAGUUCACACUGUGACGGUACCUUAACAGAAAGCGACGGCUAACUACGUG
rnacentral:rRNA from 1 species